rnacentral:rRNA from 1 species
AACGAACGCUGGCGGCGUGCCUAAUACAUGCAAGUCGAACGCAGUGGGGACGGGUGCGUAACACGUGGGUAACCUCCCAUCAGAGGGGAUAAAACUUAGCAACAGGUGCUAAACCGCAACUGAUGGAUGGACCCGGGGGGCAUUAGCUAGUUGGUGGGGUAACGGCUCACCAAGGCUACGAUGCCUAGCCGACCUGAGAGGGUGACCGGCCACACUGGAACUGAGACACGGCCCAGACUCCUACGGGAGGCAGCAGUAGGGAAUAUUCGGCAAUGGACGAAAGUCGGACCGAGCAACGCCGCGUGAGUGAAGAAGGUGUUCGGAUCGUAAAACACUGUUGUUAGAGAAGCGGUAUCUAACCAGAAAGCAACGGCUAACUACGUGCCAGCAGCCGCGGUAAUAC